GUCCACGCUGUAAAACGAUGAUCACUAGACGUCAGACCUGUUUUUACAGGAUUGGUGUCGUAGCUAACGCGUUAAGUGAUCCGCCUGGGGACUACGGUCGCAAGAUUAAAACUCAAAGGAAUUGACGGGGGUCCGCACAAGCGGUGGAACAUGUGGUUUAAUUCGACAAUACGCGAGGAACCUUACCUAGGCUUGACAUGCUUUUGACAGUUGUGGAAACACAAUCUUCCGGGUUUUUAAUUCGGACAAUUGCACAGGUGCUGCAUGGUUGUCGU
rnacentral:rRNA from 1 species